rnacentral:rRNA from 1 species
GACGAACGCUGGCGGCGUGCCUAAUACAUGCAAGUCGAGCGAAGUUUUUCUGGUGCUUGCACUAGAAAAACUUAGCGGCGAACGGGUGAGUAACACGUAAAGAACCUGCCUCAUAGACUGGGACAACUAUUGGAAACGAUAGCUAAUACCGGAUAACAGCAUUAACUGCAUGGUUGAUGUUUAAAAGUUGGUUUUGCUAACACUAUGAGAUGGCUUUGCGGUGCAUCAGCUAGUUGGUGGGGUAAAGGCCUACCAAGGCGACGAUGCAUAGCCGACCUGAGAGGGUGAUCGGCCACACUGGGACUGAGACACGGCCCAGACUCCUACGGGAGGCAGCAGUAGGGAAUCUUCCGCAAUGGGCGAAAGCCUGACGGAGCAACGCCGCGUGAGUGAAGAAGGAUUUCGGUUCGUAAAGCUCUGUUGUUAGGGAAGAAUGAUUGUGUAGUAACUAUACACAGAGAGACGGUAC